CAGCCGCCACGGGAAUACAGAGGGUGCGAGCGUUAAUCGGAUUUACUGGGCGUAAAGCGUGCGUAGGCGGCUUUUUAAGUCGGAUGUGAAAUCCCUGAGCUUAACUUAGGAAUUGCAUUCGAUACUGGGAAGCUAGAGUAUGGGAGAGGAUGGUAGAAUUCCAGGUGUAGCGGUGAAAUGCGUAGAGAUCUGGAGGAAUACCGAUGGCGAAGGCAGCCAUCUGGCCUAAUACUGACGCUGAGGUACGAAAGCAUGGGGAGCAAACAGGAUUAGAUACCCGUGUAGUCCCUGUCUCUUAUAU
rnacentral:rRNA from 1 species